rnacentral:lncRNA from 1 species
GAGGGAGUAAGUUUGACCGCAGCGUGUAUAGCAUAUUGCCCAAAUGAAGAUUUGCGGUAAUGAAGAUUUUACCAUAGUGAUCAGCAGUGUAAAAACUAAAAAUUUGGAAGACAGGCAAGUAGAAAUGAGGAGCAGCAACUGGAACAGAAAUGACUGAAAGUACAAUUUUUGGCAAGGCAGCUUCAUUUGUGUUCUGGAAGGGAUGGCUCACACGAUACAACAUGGUGGGCAUGUUGAAUGUUAGUUGUGAUAUCCAUCUG